ACGCACGCUGGCGGCGUGCUUAACACAUGCACGUCGAACGGAAAGGCCCUGCUUUUGUGGGGUGCUCGAGUGGCGAACGGGUGAGUAACACGUGAGUAACCUGCCCUUGACUUUGGGAUAACUUCAGGAAACUGGGGCUAAUACCGGAUAGGAGCUCCUGCUGCAUGGUGGGGGUUGGAAAGUUUCGGCGGUUGGGGAUGGACUCGCGGCUUAUCAGCUUGUUGGUGGGGUAGUGGCUUACCAAGGCUUUGACGGGUAGCCGGCCUGAGAGGGUGACCGGCCACAUUGGGACUGAGAUACGGCCCAGACUCCUACGGGAGGCAGCAGUGGGGAAUAUUGCACAAUGGGCGGAAGCCUGAUGCAGCAACGCCGCGUGCGGGAUGACGGCCUUCGGGUUGUAAACCGCUUUCGCCUGUGACGAGGCGUGAGUGACGGUAAUGGGUAAAGAAGCACCGGCUAACUACGUG
rnacentral:rRNA from 1 species